rnacentral:tRNA from 1 species
GCCUUGAUGGUGAAAUGGUAGACACGCGAGACUCAAAAUCUCGUGCUGAAGAGCGUGGAGGUUCGAGUCCUCUUCCAGGCA